UACGUAGGGUGCGAGCGUUUGUCCGGAAUUAUUGGGCGUAAAGAGCUCGUAGGCGGUCUGUCGCGUCUGCUGUGAAAAACCCGAGGCUCAACCUCGGGCCCUGCAGUGGGUACGGGCAGACUAGAGUGCGGUAGGGGAGAAUGGAAUUCCUGGUGUAGCGGUGAAAUGCGCAGAUAUCAGGAGGAACACCGGUGGCGAAGGCGGGUCUCUGGGCAGUAACUGACGCUGAGGAGCGAAAGCGUGGGGAGCGAACAGG
rnacentral:rRNA from 1 species